rnacentral:rRNA from 1 species
AGUGAACGCUGGCGGUAGGCCUAACACAUGCAAGUCGAACGGCAGCACAGUAAGAGCUUGCUCUUACGGGUGGAGAGUGGCGGACGGGUGAGGAAUACAUCGGAAUCUACUUUUUCGUGGGGGAUAACGUAGGGAAACUUACGCUAAUACCGCAUACGACCUACGGGUGAAAGCAGGGGAUCUUCGGACCUUGCGCGAUUGAAUGAGCCGAUGUCGGAUUAGCUAGUUGGCGGGGUAAAGGCCCACCAAGGCGACGAUCCGUAGCUGGUCUGAGAGGAUGAUCAGCCACACUGGAACUGAGACACGGUCCAGACUCCUACGGGAGGCAGCAGUGGGGAAUAUUGGACAAAGGGCGCAAGCCUGAUCCAGCCAUACCGCGUGGGUGAAGAAGGCCUUCGGGUUGUAAAGCCCUUUUGUUGGGAAAGAAAAGCAGCAGGUUAAUACCCCGCUGUUCUGACGGUACCCAAAGAAUAAGCACCGGCUAACUUCGUG